GAUGAAGAACGCAGCGAAAUGCGAUAAGUAAUGUGAAUUGCAGAAUUCAGUGAAUCAUCGAAUCUUUGAACGCACAUUGCGCCCGCCAGUAUUCUGGCGGGCAUGCCUGUUCGAGCGUCAUUUCAACCAUCAAGCCCCCGGCUUGUGUUGGGGACCUGCGGCUGCCGCAGGCCCUGAAAACCAGUGGCGGGCUCGCUAGUCACUCCGAGCGUAGUAAUACAUCUCGCUCAGGGCGUGCUGCGGGUUCCGGCCGUUAAAAAAGCCUUAUUUACCCAAGGUUGACCUCUGAUCAGGUAGGAAGACCCGCUGAACUUAAGCAUAUCAAUAAGCGGAGGA
rnacentral:misc_RNA from 1 species